rnacentral:rRNA from 1 species
UACAGAGGGUGCAAGCGUUGUUCGGAAUUACUGGGCGUAAAGGGCUCGUAGGCGGCCAACUAAGUCAGACGUGAAAUCCCUCGGCUUAACCGGGGAACUGCGUCUGAUACUGGGUGGCUUGAGAUUGGGAGAGGGAUGCGGAAUUCCAGGUGUAGCGGUGAAAUGCGUAGAUAUCUGGAGGAACACCGGUGGCGAAGGCGGCAUCCUGGACCAACACUGACGCUGAGUGAGCGAAAGCCAGGGGAGCAAACGGG